rnacentral:rRNA from 1 species
GAACGCUGGCGGCGUGCCUAAUACAUGCAAGUAGAACGCUGAAGAGAGGAGCUUGCUCUUCUUGGAUGAGUUGCGAACGGGUGAGUAACGCGUAGGUAACCUGCCUUGUAGCGGGGGAUAACUAUUGGAAACGAUAGCUAAUACCGCAUAACAAUGGAUGACACAUGUCAUUUAUUUGAAAGGGGCAAUUGCUCCACUACAAGAUGGACCUGCGUUGUAUUAGCUAGUAGGUGAGGUAAUGGCUCACCUAGGCGACGAUACAUAGCCGACCUGAGAGGGUGAUCGGCCACACUGGGACUGAGACACGGCCCAGACUCCUACGGGAGGCAGCAGUAGGGAAUCUUCGGCAAUGGGGGCAACCCUGACCGAGCAACGCCGCGUGAGUGAAGAAGGUUUUCGGAUCGUAAAGCUCUGUUGUAAGUCAAGAACGGGUGUGAGAGUGGAAAGUUCACACUGUGACGGUAGCUUACCAGAAAGGGACGGCUAACUACGUGCCAGCAGCCGCGGUAAUACGUAGGUCCCGAGCGUUGUCCGGAUUUAUUGGGCGUAAAGCGAGCGCAGGCGGUUUGAUAAGUCUGAAGUUAAAGGCUGUGGCUCAACCAUAGUUCGCUUUGGAAACUGUCAAACUUGAGUGCAGAAGGGGAGAGUGGAAUUCCAUGUGUAGCGGUGAAAUGCGUAGAUAUAUGGAGGAACACCGGUGGCGAAAGCGGCUCUCUGGUCUGUAACUGACGCUGAGGCUCGAAAGCGUGGGGAGCGAACAGGAUUAGAUACCCUGGUAGUCCACGCCGUAAACGAUGAGUGCUAGGUGUUGGAUCCUUUCCGGGAUUCAGUGCCGCAGCUAACGCAUUAAGCACUCCGCCUGGGGAGUACGACCGCAAGGUUGAAACUCAAAGGAAUUGACGGGGGCCCGCACAAGCGGUGGAGCAUGUGGUUUAAUUCGAAGCAACGCGAAGAACCUUACCAGGUCUUGACAUCCCGAUGCUAUUUCUAGAGAUAGAAAGUUACUUCGGUACAUCGGUGACAGGUGGUGCAUGGUUGUCGUCAGCUCGUGUCGUGAGAUGUUGGGUUAAGUCCCGCAACGAGCGCAACCCCUAUUGUUAGUUGCCAUCAUUCAGUUGGGCACUCUAGCGAGACUGCCGGUAAUAAACCGGAGGAAGGUGGGGAUGACGUCAAAUCAUCAUGCCCCUUAUGACCUGGGCUACACACGUGCUACAAUGGUUGGUACAACGAGUUGCGAGUCGGUGACGGCGAGCUAAUCUCUUAAAGCCAAUCUCAGUUCGGAUUGUAGGCUGCAACUCGCCUACAUGAAGUCGGAAUCGCUAGUAAUCGCGGAUCAGCACGCCGCGGUGAAUACGUUCCCGGGCCUUGUACACACCGCCCGUCACACCACGAGAGUUUGUAACACCCGAAGUCGGUGAGGUAACCUUUUGGAGCCAGCCGCCUAAGGUGGGACAGAUGAUUGGGGUGAAGUC